rnacentral:piRNA from 1 species
UGACCACGGUCUCUGAGGUCAGCCUCUUGCUA